rnacentral:lncRNA from 1 species
CCAGCUUCCACUAAAAUCCCAGAGGUUCUCCAAGUCUCUAACUCUCUCUCCAGCUGCUGGGAACUCGGAUGCCGAAGCACCCGCAGUCUGCCGGGGUAUCAGCUCCUCAUCCCGCGGUUCACCAAGAUGAGUCUCAUAUCACGGCUUCCAGGAGCAGACACCUGAUUCCAGCUUUUGUACUUUUCGCCAUGCAGUGGCCACUCUCAUUUUUUGAGGAAGCAUGUUGAGCACCAGUUUUCCUCCUCUGGCAACGGCUUCCAUUGCUACAACAAUGGAGUCUGGCCCCAGAAAUGGUGUCAACAUCAACACAAGAGCAAGAAGAUGAGUUUAGAGCACUCCUGCUGAGAUGGGGUUAUGUGAACCUCAUUCCGCAUUGGGUAGUGGGGACAGCAAGAGUAUCUCAUUUUCUGAGGAAGAAGAGAGAGUGGGCCAGCUGGCAGCUCCUGAAGACCACAGGGAACAGGAAAAGAGCCAACUGGAGCAGAUAGGCAAAAGGGUUGGGAGGUGCUUGGGGAGAGAGCGUGGGAAUGGGCAAAGAGAAGUCUUCAGAGGUAUCAUGGGAGUCACUGCACAAAGGUCUGAUCCUUCAGUUACUCUUCUGGGACAGGGUCUGCAGCCCAACUGCAUCUGUCAAGAUGGACUGUGGUGAAAGCCCUGCUCUGAUCGAUAGAGCUGAG